rnacentral:rRNA from 1 species
UGGGGAAUUUUGGACAAUGGGGGAAACCCUGAUCCAGCCAUCCCGCGUGUGCGAUGAAGGCCUUCGGGUUGUAAAGCACUUUUGGCAGGAAAGAAACGUCGCGGGUUAAUACCCCGCGAAACUGACGGUACCUGCAGAAUAAGCACCGGCUAACUACGUGCCAGCAGCCGCGGUAAUACGUAGGGUGCAAGCGUUAAUCGGAAUUACUGGGCGUAAAGCGUGCGCAGGCGGUUCGGAAAGAAAGAUGUGAAAUCCCAGGGCUUAACUUUGGAACUGCAUUUUUUAACUACCGGGCUAGAGUGUGUCAGAGGGAGGUGGAAUUCCGCGUGUAGCAGUGAAAUGCGUAGAUAUGCGGAGGAACACCGAUGGCGAAGGCAGCCUCCUGGGAUAACACUGACGCUCAUGCACGAAAGCGUGGGGAGCAAACAGGAUUAGAUACCCUGGUAGUCCACGCCCUAAACGAUGUCAACUAGCUGUUGGGGCCUUCGGGCCUUGGUAGCGCAGCUAACGCGUGAAGUUGACCGCCUGGGGAGUACGGUCGCAAGAUUAAAACUUAAA